AAGACUUAUGAGUUUACGAUGAUCUUACCAAUUAAAACAAAUAUUCGUGCGGAUGUACUGAUCAAGCUCUAAUUUAAUAUUAAAAAUAAAGUUAUUCACAAUAGAGUUUCUUAUAUCUUUUAAAUAAAAAAUUAUCUAUUACUCGAUUAAUUACAAAUUUACAAUAUAAUACCAUUAGUCAUACUUAGCACAAAUUAAAUCAUAUAUCUAAAGUAUUCCCUUAUGUUAAGACGAAUAAAUAAAACUUUCUAUUAUUAAAUACUGUUACGUUCAACACACAAAAUUGGCGCAUAAUAACACAGCUGUAUACCAUAUAUAUUAUUCAUACGACAAUGUUAAUUAAAUAAUUAGUAUAGUUUUAUUAACAAGUGGAGAAUAAGCAUUGAGUGAGUUACCGUCACUGAAAACCCAUGAGAUAGCUAAGGUACGACACCAACACAUCAAUGGCGUUUUGUUGAUUCACAAAGGUAGCGUUAAUAAUUGUUUAUUUAAAAUCAUAUCUAAUUUUGACCCCAAAAAAUUAUAUUAACCAUUAUAAUCCUACCAUAUAUUUGGUCCAAAAAACCACCUUAUAUAAUAUGCCAAGGUAUUUAAUGUCUACUCUAUAAAUUUAAAAGUGUAUGUAUGGUUCUUGGUCUUUAUAAAUGUACAGUUUUUUGUUAACCGUAAACACGUAGUUAACCAAUAUUGUUUAAAAGCAAUUUUUCUUUAAAAUAAACAUGUAGACUACGUGUUUAGGAAAUCACACAAUUUAAGCUAAGGGCAUGGUUAUUCCAUGCUCCCUAUCACACAUAUCACCACGUAGACUACGUGUUUAGGAAAUCACACAAUUUAAGCUAAGUGCAUGGUUAUUCCAUGCUCCCUAUCACACAUAGCACCGCUCACCUAUCACUUAGACCAUCAUUAUCGCAGUUUCUUAGAUGAGUUUUUAAAGAAAAUAAGGUAAUUAAUUAAAUGGAAACAAAAUUAAAAGCUUAUAAUCGAUCCUUAGUUAAUAGUUUUUGUUACCGAUCAUAGAAGAGUUUCUUGUAACACGUGUCAGCUUCUGGGGUUUUUGUUUUUUUUUCUUUCUUUUCUUUUCUUCCUCUCCUGUUCUCUCAACUUCUCUCGUGUUCUCCGUCGAGGAGAAACGUCGACAGCGACGGAGCUCCGUCUUGGAGGAAGAGCAGUGCCGCCUCGUUUCGUCACGCUUCGCCUCAGGCAUUUGACAUAGCUUUCUUUCAAAGUUCAUUGUCAAUUGUAUCAUUUGUUUCUAUGCUUUUGGAAUUGACAGUACUCAUUUAUCAGUUGUAUGUGCCAAUGUUUUUGUAUAUACCAACUUUUUUUUUAAAACAUAAAUUAAGAAACUCCCAUUGGAGCAAGAAAA